UGUAAUCAUCCCUUAAAGGAAAGCCACACAACAGAUGCUCUCUGAAAAGCAAUAAGUACACACAUUCCUUCAGUUUCAAGGAAGCAAUAUAAAAACCUUUUACUGUUUAUUCAAAUAAAGUCACACAUUAUGAGCUUACUUCUCCCUACCCCUGCCCAAACAAUUGAUGUUUUAUCAGCUCUGCAAUGUCUGAUCUUUCUCCAAGUCAGACAGGAGAUCAGAGGAUUUAACCUGUGUUAUCCUUGUAAAAUUGUAUAUAAAAUACAGCAGAGAACACGUAUCUAUGAAUCUCAUUUAAACCGUGCUUAACAAAGCACAAAUAUUUAUUGUAAAGCAUAACUGAUUAUUAGGAAAAUUAAGAACUUCAUAUCUCUUUGUUGUUCACAUCUAGUGAUAACAAAGAUAUCAAUUUCUGGAAGUCUACCAAAAAGUUACAUUUUAUUAUGAGCACGUAUGAUUUAAGCAUUGCCAAUAAAUUCUACAUAUUUAGUUAUAGCUGACAUUUAUGAUGUUACUUGAAGAAUAAUGAAUGCCUUAACUUGAAAUAUGCACAUGCCUUUAAAGAAGUGAGCUGAAUGUCAAAGGAAGCUUUUAGUAACUUACAUAUGAACAAAUAUCUUCUAUCAUCUAGAAAGGUUAAUGAAAUCACAUUUUCUGAGGUUUCUGUGCUGCAGACCAAAGUGACAGCAAAAGAGAGCAUUUACUAUCCAGAAGGGAAAAGAGAAAAUAAAUUAUUAUAUGAUAGAUCCUAUAUAUCUUAACUGCUAGUAAAACAUUUUAAUGUUUCUUUCAUUGUAUGCAUUAGAUAAUCUGCAACUUACUGAAUGAGUUAUUUUUGAAGACCGUCACAGCAUACUCGCAUUUUAACCUUUUAUGCAGAAACAAUUACUGUAUUAAUCACCGUAAACAAUUUCUGUAUUAAUUCUGUUGUGCAAACUCAGGGAGGGGGAAAUGCUCGCAAACUACUCCACCGUUUCAGAUUCACCUCGUAUUUCCUCAGCCCUAAUUCACACAAGUCCUGCAUUAUAGAACAAACGUCAAGGGGAAAAUCAGAAAAUUUCAUUUGGCACCGGUGAGGUUCAGCCAGGACAGGCACAGAGGGGGGAUUCUAACAAUCACUCGCACGUUCAUUAAACACACUCCCCUCAUUCUCCCUGCUCCAAGGGGCUGACAAUGCACUCGCAGCAGCCUCGGGCCGGUUCCAGCACAACUCGAUGUUCCUGCAUUUGACGUGCAAGUGGCCAAAUAAAAACAAACUCCCCCCACACGCACGGGGGUUUUACUCUACAAAAAACAAGACUCAUUGAAAAGUUUUCCGGGAGGUAGAAACCAACAGAGUUCCAUUCAAGAAAACUGAGCGUUUCGGGCAUCCCUCCAGCCCCUACUGAACAGCUCUCUCUUCAGUAAAAAGUUUCUUAAAACCCAUCAACCCCAAACUAACUUAGGUGGAGCGAGGAGCGGCGGGGGAAGAGAAAGGGAGAGAGAGGAACGAACGACAGCAAUCUGCAGGGCAGAAGGACAGCUGCCACUCAAACAACGCCAUCAUUCCAGAAAUAAUAUCCCUCAAAACCUGCUAUUUCUUUAGCACUAGACAAUGAUUUUGUCGAUAGAAAGCGGGAGGAACCAGAAGCGCCGAGCAGCUGAGAAAGCUGUGGUUUCUUUGGCUCGGAAAGGCUGCCAGACGCGGAGGAGGUGGGGGCUUCGGAAAAGAAACAAAAUAACAAGCAGGAGUUUGUUAGCGAGCAGACAUCCAGCACAGACACACACAGCGGUGAGGAAAAGCUUAUGGAGCGGCGCUCAUUCCUCCCAAAGUUUCUCCUGCGAGUUCCGGAGAAACCUACCUGCUCUCUGGAAAUGCAAGGCAACGAGGGUCUCCUAAACAUUUUGCAGCUGCCGUAGUAGCUGACCGAAGUUUCCCCUAGGGACACGCAGCUGGAUCUCCUCCUGGGUCUGAUCACAGGCACUUUUUCCUCCAGGCUGGGGAGGCGCGGCUGGCGG